rnacentral:rRNA from 1 species
GAUCCUGGCUUAGGAUGAACGCUAGCGACAGGCUUAACACAUGCAAGUCGAGGGGCAGCAUAAAAGUAGCAAUACGUUGGUGGCGACCGGCGCACGGGUGAGUAACGCGUAUGCAACCUACCUAUCAGAGGGGAAUAACCCGGCGAAAGUCGGACUAAUACCGCAUAAAACAGGGGCACCGCAUGGUGAUAUUUGUUAAAGAAAUUCGCUGAUAGAUGGGCAUGCGUUCCAUUAGGUAGUUGGUGAGGUAACGGCUCACCAAGCCGACGAUGGAUAGGGGAACUGAGAGGUUGGUCCCCCACACUGGUACUGAGACACGGACCAGACUCCUACGGGAGGCAGCAGUGAGGAAUAUUGGUCAAUGGGCGGGAGCCUGAACCAGCCAAGUCGCGUGAAAGGAAGAAGGAUCUAUGGUUCGUAAACUUCUUUUGCAGGGGAAUAAAGUGCAGGACGUGUCCUGUUUUGUAUGUACCCUGAGAAUAAGGAUCGGCUAACUCCGUGCCAGCAGCCGC